rnacentral:rRNA from 1 species
UUAAUUGAAGAGUUUGAUCAUGGCUCAGAUUGAACGCUGGCGGCAGGCCUAACACAUGCAAGUCGAGCGGUAACAGGGGAAGCUUGCUUCCCGCUGACGAGCGGCGGACGGGUGAGUAAUGUAUGGGGAUCUGCCCGAUAGAGGGGGAUAACCACUGGAAACGGUGGCUAAUACCGCAUAAUCUCUUAGGAGCAAAGCAGGGGAACUUCG